UUCAUUUUUCCUAGACCCAAUGGCAUGCCACACUUCCAUACAACUGAGACUGAAAUGUGUUAUGUUACAAUGGCACCGUCAUGAGAGCGCAUUUUUGGAACCUGGGUACAUGUGAACCCAAUUUUGAAAACUUGGAGAAAGUUGUUUUUGUAAGCUGUGAAAAAUUAUGAGAAAAGAAAACCCCACACAAGUAGAUGGUGGGUGGAAAGUUGUCCUUGUGAAUUCCUACCCAACAACUACAUGCAUGGGUUUCGUUGUAAUUUUUCAUAUGUCAAACACUUAAGAGUGGUGAUUUUUGAUACGUUUGGAAAAGUGGCUGAUGGCAGGUCAUUAAAUGUUUUGUUUUGGCAGGUGGAUGAGCUAUGCUAGCUGAGGAAUGGGGCGCUGCAGAGGAUAUAAGUGGCUGAGCUUUGCUGUAGGGAAGUUAUGCAACUGCAGAAGAGCCAACAACUAUCUGAAGAUGCAGUCACAGCAUUCUAUUCCCUGGGUCAUGCCAUGUUUUGUCUGGAUUGGAACUUUGGAAGUUAUUAUUUUUACGUCGCAAUUGUUCUGUACAUGUUAUUACUAGUUUAAGGGAAGGUUUCUAUGAAACAUCCAUUGCAUUGGUCUGAACAAUCAUCGUUUGAAUGUUGUCACUAUGGUUGUAUAAUCAAUCUUCCUGUAGCAUGCAUGUACCAACAAAUUGACUUCACUGUACUGUAUCUGGUGAUCAUGUUACUCAUAUGCUCCUACUCUUUUAUGGUCAUCUUAUGCUACUCUGGAUGAGAGCUGUGUAUGUUAUGCCACAUAUGUCAAACUUAUACACGUCAUACUGUGGCCUGUUUAUGAUGUGCAUGAUCAUGCUGUUCUGUUGAUCAUUGCUUUGCUCCUUUACUGUGGAUGUCAUGCUGACCAUUUUGCUAUUUUUCUUCCUAUAC
rnacentral:lncRNA from 1 species